rnacentral:rRNA from 1 species
GGUGAAGUCGUAACAAGGUAGCCGUAGGGGAACCUGCGGCUGGAUCACCUCCUUAAUCGA